GGCACCUGACGCGUCUGACGAGCAUGCCGCGUGAGGGAUAAGGUUGCCUGAUCGUUGACUCCGCUGUUCUGGAGUAAGAACUGACGUUACUGCACGUGCCUUGACGGUACCUUAUUAUAACGCCACCGCUAAUUAUAUGCCAGCAGCCGCGGUAAUA
rnacentral:rRNA from 1 species